AAGGUCCGUUUGUCGCAGAGUUCGGAUUCGGAUCGAUCCCGAUUCGGCUUUGUUUGACAAGUCACACGAUACAAAUCUCUCUGUUACUGUUACUGUUACUAUGGUUUUCUUGAUCUGUUACUAUUUGUGUUACUUUUACUGAUAUCUAAAGCGGUACGUUCAUCCUCUUCUGUUAUAAGAGACGACGAUCGAUCGAUUUUAUGAUGCAGUUUCAGUUUGUUGAAUACGAAUUAUUGGUUUCGGAUCCUGAUUGUGUAUUUUUUUUUGGUAUUGUUUAGAUCAUCAACGAUCGGGAGACUGGCAGAUCUAGGGGAUUUGGAUUCGUUACCUUCAAGGAGGAACAAGCUUUGAGAGACGCGAUCGAAGGGAUGAACGGCCAGAGCCUUGACGGACGUAACAUAACCGUCAACGAGGCUCAGUCCCGCAGUGGAGGCGGCGGCGGUGGCGGUGGAUUCCGCAGCGGUGGAGGAGGUGGCCGUCGUGAAGGCGGAUACGGUGGAGGUGGUGGUUAUGGUGGCCGCCGUGAAGGAGGCGGUGGAUAUGGAGGAGGACGUGACCGUGGAUACGGCGGUGGUGAUGGUGGAGCCCGUUACUCCAGGGGAGGCGGUGAUUCCGAAGGAAACUGGAGAAAUUAGAUUAGAUAUUCAUUUGUAGACUAUCGGGAUCUGGUUUGGUAUUUUCAAUUUUCGCACUGUUGUUGUGUUCUGUUUUUGACCUGUUCUUAGUUACCCUGCGUUUUUAUCGAUUGCUUUGAGAAAGCACAAGUUAUAAUGAAAAAAAU
rnacentral:lncRNA from 1 species